CGGCCGCAGUACUCUGACUGUGCAAAGGUAGCAUAAUCAUUUGCCCUUUAAUUAAGGGAUGGGAUCAAAGAAGCCAUGGGGAAAAUCUGUCUCCCUGUGAUUUUAUUGAAAUUGAGAGCUAGGUGCAAACUCCUAGGAGUUAGUGGGAAAAAAGACGAGAAGACCCUAAGAAUUUUAAGAAGGCCCACCUUUAGGAACACUUUUAGUUGGGGCAACUAAAAAUGAGCUUUAAUCAUUUUUUUCCUUGAAGUCAAGAUAUUUUAGAAGACAGUAAAUUACCUUAGGGAUAACAGCAUAAUCAUUUUCAUGGUUUUUGACCUCGAUGUUGGACUAGGAAGCUUCUCUACCAGGAGUAGAGUGGCAAGGC
rnacentral:rRNA from 1 species